UUCGCGGUCCUCCUCGGCUCCUCGCCGGUCUUCGUUGCCGUCCCUGAUCCGUUCUCGCUGUCCUGCUCCGGACUCACAGGUCAGUCCACGCCGCUCUACUUCUGUACUUCCCCGCCUUCGAGUUCGUGGCAAGGUUGUCUUCAUCUAUUCUAUGCUUGAUCUGCAGCCCUUGUUUUGCUCGUCGUAGAAUCUCUGGUGAUGGCGGGAGCUACGCCCAAGACCUCAUGGUUCUCACUGGACUGGCCAGUGUAUGAGAUUCGUGAGACGUUUUCUCCUAUCUCGGGGAAAAUCAGUACGC
rnacentral:lncRNA from 1 species